GCUCCAAUAGCGUAUACUAAAGUUGUUUGCAGUUAAAAAGCUCGUAGUUGAACUUAUGGCGAUUGCAUAAGCUGGCUUCGGUCGUUAUGUGGUCGUCAUCCGCUUGGGAACCCCGUUGGUCUUCAUUGGUCGGCGGGAGGAUCAGGCAUUUUUACUUUGAAAAAAUAAGAGUGUUCAAGGCAGGCAAUCGCCAUGAAUAC
rnacentral:rRNA from 1 species